GGAGUGACAUCAUUUAAUUCAGAAAUGGAUGAAAGAAGUAUUUAUGCUUCAACUGAGACUCACAGGACAAAGAAAUGGCCCAGAGGAGGCUAAUGUGUGUGUGUGUGUGUGUGUGUGUGUGUGUGUGUGUGUGUGUGUGUAAGACACGAGAGCUCGUGCAAAACUAGAACUGGGCACAAAGAUACACAAGGAACUCAGAGACAUUGAUGUCUCUGGACAUUCUCAAAGCCACUAGCUCCACUGUUUGCUAACAAUGACCUCAUAGUGUCCUUGCCUACACGAAGCUCCAGCUGAGGAGGGCAGUCCUAGAGCAGCCCGACUCGGCUUCCUUGGACCAUCUCCGAGUCUCUGCUGACCAUUGCUAACAUUUGUCACUUGGCACUGUGGACCAGGAGGAUAAGGGACUUAGGCAGCAUCCUGACUACACCCACUCACCAUGACCUGUUCCAGACACACCGUGAGGGAUCCGUACUUCUGUGGAGGCAGCAGCCAGCAAAUGAAAUGCAAGUCAUUGAGGCUAAAGGCAAAGACCCAGAGCCAGGUUCCAGCCAGAGAUCCCUGUCGCAUGGUGUCAGGCAGGAUGGAACCCAGAGGGUCUCAGGACCUCUGCCAGCAGAUUCUGAUUGUUGCCUCCCAAAUCAACAGAAUGCCUUUCAUACAAGCAGACUCCGGGGAGAGCGAUGCAGACUCUCAGCAAAGCUCCAUCCACCUCAACAGACCUCAGGAGGCAUCAGCAGGGCCUGGCUUCCCUCUGCUGCCCUCGGGCAUAGUUGGCUCCCUAAUGACUACACACAACCUUUAUCAAUUUUUAAACACUCUAAACAGAAAGGCGUGAUACUCACAGAAGCUUUUGUCGCGAGAGAGCUUAAGUGACACACACCCAAGGCUCAAUUAUGAGCAGGCAGGGCAGGGCAGGGGAGGCCUGGGAUAUCUGUGGCUAUUCUGGAGUUUGUGCCUUUGGAGGACAAGGCUCCAGGAAUGGGGGUCUGUCAGCCUGGUUCCUUCCUCAGGCCUUGCUGUUCCAAGAUCAAGGACUUCAUGUGUUCCUAGUGAUCCACAGAUCUCCAUCGUCAGGACACGGCCUGCUGUCUUCACUCUGUCGCUAGCACACGGGUCCUGAGUGACAUUAUCUGCCCACGUCUUGUCAGGUUCCGGUGAAGCUCAAGGACUUGGCUUCAGUUAGCUCCGUGGCCGCAGGCUGCUUCCUCAGGCCUUAGACUGUCAAACUUGUUUCCCUCCAAGUUCGGGCUCCUGGCGCUAUCAACUUAGGUGUCACUUUGCCAGCCUCAGCACCAUGAACCCUGAAAGUGCAGGACAGGUCCCUCAAGAGCUCAGAGGAGGAGCAAAGAUAACCCACACAGCUCUGGGGUCAGAAAGUAAGUCCCAUCGAGCCUGGAAAUGGGUUGGACAUGCACCAUCACCUCCAAGAGCCACAGGGCAGAAGCCACCCCAUGCCCAGCACAGAUCAACAGAUGUCUAUGAAUGGAUCGAAGUCUUGGUGAAAUCCAUCCUUGGCUCUGUUAGCUGUCAAAGACCUCGGACUAGAGAGGUCAUGAGAGCCAGGAUAAAGCUGAGUGGAUGCACACAUAAACCAGAUCCUGAUGACUGACCAUUGCAGCCACCAAUCAGCAUCCCUCAAGCUUCCUCAGGAAAGCCUCCGUGUGUAGCAGAUGUUGAUGAACACAGAGACCCCACAGCCGAACGAGGUGCAGAAAGAAGAGACUUUUUAGAACACUCAGCACCAAGUGGAGCAUCUCUAUUAAGCCGCCUCCUUCCAAGGCUCAGGCAUCCGAGAAGAGGGGGCAGAGAAUGUGAGGGACAGAGGUGAUGAAGGUCUACAAGGAAAUGGGGCCUUCAUCCGGAGCAGAGGAAACUAAACAAAAAGCUUUAGGCUCUCCUCUCUCUAUGUCUCUGUCUGCCUGUCUCUGUCUCUUUCUCUUUCU